GCCUCGGUAGCGCAAGUAGGAAGCGCGUCAGUCUCAUAAUCUGAAGGUCGUGAGUUCGAGCCUCACCCGGGGCA
rnacentral:tRNA from 1 species